ACCAUUCUCAUCACAUUGGAUUACGCGCAGUUUUAUUUUUGUCCAGAGCCAAUUAGUGGCCCCACCAGACCGCAAUUACUAUUACAACAACAAUUAUUACAACAACAACAACUAGUACCAACAUCGUUGUACGAGUCGUCAGCAUCAGCAUCGUCGUUUUUUAAUAAUUUUUUAACAAACACCAACAAUUUCAUUAACAGCAACAUUACGCAAUCACGUUCACCACUCUAUCAGCAACAACAACAGCAGCAAUUACAAUUGCAACUGCAACAGCAGCAGCAACAAGACUCAUCAACAACGCCGCCAACAUAUUAUAAUUACAAUUAUAAUUAUAAUCUACAGCAACAGCAGUUGCAGCAACAAUUAUUGCAGCAGCAACAUCAUCACCAACAACUGUACAAUCCAUUCUACAGUCAGCAACAUCUGCAGUCGGCAGCAACACCACCACCACCACCGUCGUAUUACCACAAAUCGUUGUUUGGCAGUAGCAUUAGUCCGGGCAGUUAUUUGGGCGAUACAGCGACAGCAACAGCGGGCUUUGGUUUGGGCCUAAGCGGACUGGGACUGGGAGGAUUAAGUGCAGGCUUGGGUGGAGGAGGAGGAGGUGUUGGUUACACCCCCUUAGGACGUAGCUAUCGUUAUUAUAAGCAACACGCCUCAACAGGUCUUGGAGGCAAUAGCAGUUACAACGGUUAUUAUAGUUUAAGUUUCGGGGAGAGUUACUAUCCCUUUCAAUCGAGUGGCGGAGGAGGAGGCGUAUCAGGAGGUGGAGAUUAUUUUGGGCGCAUAUCACCAGCGGCGGCUCAUACGGGACCUCUGCUAGCCACUUCGGUUUCAGAGCCUCGCAGUAGUUUACUAAAAUUACCCCCGCCACAACCACCACCAUUGCUGCCACCCCUAGAUGACGAUCUGCAAGUAAGCACAGAGCCCUACUUGUCUACCUAUUCGUCAAGGCCUAUAGAUUAUAUACCCUCGCCACCGGCCUCCUUGCGAAGCGAUACUUACGCCUAUAGACCACGACGUCAGCGUGAUACAGGCGGUCGUUAUUCAGCUACCGGUUAUUAUACCAGCCGACAGAGAAGUCGUGGAUUUAGUCCCAUUAUAGACUGUGAUCGUUAUAGGGAUCGUGAAUUUGUGGGUCGUUCUAGAUUACGCACGAAUAGCUUGCAAAGUAACUGCAGUCUAGGAAGAUCUUCGUUUACGGCCAUCGAUCGUUUGUCACCCGUAAGAGUGGGUGCUUCGCCGCGUUCCUUGAGAAGAGAGAAAUAUUUAUCUCCUUGUGGGAGUCCUAAAUACAGCAGCAAAACGUCGUCCCUACAACCAACCAACGCCCACGAAUCACAAUAUCAUACACAAGCAUACGAUACAUCAUCGUCCAAUACCGCCGGCGCCGGAACAGUAACAUCCAAAGCAUCAUCAGCAGCAGGCGCUUUAACACAUACGCCGCCUCAUUAUCCGCAUAAUACCUCCUCACAAACCUCCUCCAGCCAUCACCAACAUCAGCACUCACAUCAUCAUCAACAUUUGCCCAAAUUGGAGCAACCACAACCGUAUCAGCCCUACAACACCGAACAAACGCCCAGCAAUAGCACAUAUCACGCCCAUAAGAGGACUCAUAAAACCUCCACAGAUCCUAGGGAUUAUCAUCAACAAACUACUCCACAAAGACAACAGCAACAGUAUCACUAUCAAGAUCAACAGCAACACCAGCAGCAGCAACAACAACAGUUCCACACAACCAGCAGUACCAGCAACAUUUACUCCACACGCUCAACACCCGGAAGUUGUGAAAAUUUCCAUCAUUUAGCUUCAAAUCUUGGGUUUAUACAGCGUCAUAGAAUGAUGGUGAGCAAACUGUGGAAGGGUUGCUUUCCCGAUGUCACACCCGAACAUGUGCAUCGUCACAAUUUUUAUCUUUGCCAAUGGCAGCGCAAUACCCAAGUGCGCAUUAUCUAUCUCUUCUAUCGCUGGAUUACGGCCAUUAUUUGUUUGGCCGCUUUAGUCUGUUCAUUACUCGAUAUCGGUCGCACUGAUGAACGUUUUGAAAAUCAUUAUGCCAAAUGGUGGAUUUAUCUCACCCAUUGGGGUCUUCUCUUCUGUACGGUACAAGCAUGGCUGGCGGCCAUGAUUGUAACGCAGGGUAUGAUGGUGGAACGAGAAGACUUUGAGUUAAUGCGUCAGGCGAAAAAAUCAAAAUUACAUCUUCUCUAUUGGGUGUUGUACACGUGUGCCACGGUCUAUGCUUUUAUAAUAACGAUGUGUUAUUGGUUGUUAGUCCAUGAUCCAGAAAUACAUAAAAUUGACACAUUAAACAUUAUGGUGCAUGUUUUAAAUUCGAUUAUAAUGCUUAUCGAUUUGGCCAUUGUGGGACAUCCAAUUAAGUUAAGUCAUGUCUAUUUUACAACUGGCAUUGGUUUAGCAUAUGCCAUAUUUACGGGAGUUUAUUUUUUGGCUGGUGGUACGGAUAGAAAACUUCAAGUUGCCAUUUAUCCUAUGUUAGAUUGGACCAAACCGGGUAAAGCCAUUAUCGUUACGGUUUGUGCCAUUAUCUUUGUCUUCAUUGUGCACUUCUGUUGUUUUCUGCUCUAUCGCGCUCGUGUCUGGCUAUUUACUAAACUUUGCAUACGUGGUUCACAUCAUCGAGACGGUGAGUUUUGUGAAGGUCUCAAUGAGGACUCUUGUGCUACACGUUUGGGUGGCGGUAGUAGUGCUGACUAUUCGCAUCAACAACAAUUUCCCACUACAGUACAUUCAGAGCAGCCGCAUCGUACACAUCUAACGGUGGCCACUAGUGCAGCGGCCACACAACAAAUGUCAACGGAACAUGUGUAUGCUAAUGCUCCUAGUCAUCAGCAUUUAAUGGCUGGACAACAGCAACAACAACAACAGCAGUCACAUCAACAUCAUCCUCAUCAGUAUCCACCCCAAUAUUCGGGUUAUCAACAACAACCCGUGGUGGCCGGGGUAAAUGUUGGUGUCAUUAGUUCAGCUGAUAUAUAUCAGCAGCAUGAUGGCAGUAAUAAACAUCAUCAACAGCAACAACAACAACAACAGCAGCAACAUCAACACAAGUCAACAAGCGGUGGCAAUGCAUCAUCUGCCACAGCUGCUGCCUCAUCAGCUCUAUCACGUACUGUGGCUCAUUUAGAUGCAGCACAACGCGAACAAUUCCUAAAUCCCAAUCAAAUUGUGGAAUACAAAAUGUAAAGACGUUGUACCCGGCACCGAUAUACCUUUCAUUUGUCCAUGAAAUUUUUAGAAAAACAUUGCAGUCAAUGUCAGGCCUAUAAAGAACAGGCCGAUAACUAUGGCCGAUUUAAGGGUGGCGAGGAUAAUGCAGAUGCUGCCGAUUGUCUAGUGAGCCAUCAUAAUGUUGCGCUAACAAUCGCGGAUGUUGACAACAAUAUCGGCAGCAGUAGCAGCAGCAACAAACAAGGGAGGGGGGAAGUGAGCAUUUUAAAAGAAAUGUUUGAGUGAGAGCAAAAUUCUUUGCGAAACGAAUUGGAAUUUAAUGAAACAUUCAAAAAUAAGGAUUUUUAUUUAAGAAAUUUUGAUCUUUAUGUCAAAGACAAAAGAAUUUGUAAUAAAAUCUCAACAUUUCAAAAUUUUAAACAUUUUUAAGUGGAACGAUGUGGAAUAUAAUGAAACACUUAACAAAAUUCUUAAAUAUCAAUAGAUUGACUAUUAAUUGUAAAUUAUAACAUUUUCUCCCUUUUUAUGUCUUUAAAUAUGAGAGUUUUAUUGAAGGAACGAAAUGGAAUUAAAUGAAACAAGCAUUAUAUACACAUUUUCUUAAGAGAAUUAUUAAAAUUUUUCCUUUUUAUUCACUUUUUAAAUGAAUACCAACAAAUAUUGGCAAAUUUUGUGAAAUUUUUUUAAGCGGAACGAAAUGGAAUCAUGUGAAACAGUGUUGAAAUUUUAGAUUCCAGCACCUUAAUUAACUUUUAUUGUUUCCCUAAACAUUUAAAUGUAUUCAAACUUAUAAAAAUUUAAAAUUUUGUACAAGGAACGAAAUGGAAUCAAGUGAAACAGUUUAGAAUUUAUAGAUUUAACAGAUUAAAAUGUUCUUUAGUUAUUUCUAACUAAGUUCAAGGGAUUUUAAGUCAUUUAAAUCGUAAUUUUGUUCAAGGAACGAAAUGGACUUUAGUGAAACAGCUUAAUUUUUAGAUUUAAUGGCAAAAAAUUUUUCUUAGCGGUUUUAACAACAUUUUUAAGUAUUUUUGGUUUCCAAAUUUUAAAUAUUUGUUUCAGGAAUGAAAUGGAAUCUUAUGAAACACUUUUAAAAUAGGACUUUUCUUAACAGAAACUAAGAACAUUUUUGUGUUGUUGUUUGUUAUGAAAUAAUAAGAACACAAUUGUGUGAUUUUAACUAAAUUUCAUUAGCGGAACGAAAUGGUAUUAAGUGAAACAUAGCAGAAUUUAUAGAUUUUAUAAGGGAAAACGUUUUAUUGAUAUUAGCUUUUAAUUCUAAAAUAGUUUAAGCCGUAAAAUUUUGAAUUUUUGUUUGAGAAACGAAAUGGAAUUUAGUGAAACAUUGAAGAAUUUAUGGUUUUAACAUAAAUUAAGGUAUUUUAGUUAUUACUCUUUUUUUAAACAAGAUUUUUAGCCAUUAAAAUCAUAAUUUAGGUUUAGGAACGAAAUGGAAUUUAGUGAAACACUUUGAAAAUUACAUUUUUUUUAAUGAAAAUUGUAUGAUUUUGUUUGUAUAGUUUAUUUUAAUAUAAAUUUAAAUAAAAUUAAGGAAUUUUGACUUAAUUCCAUUAGCGGAACGAAAUGGAAUUUUGUGAAACAUUGCAGAAUUUAUAGAUAUAACAAGGAAAAAUGUUUUGUUUGUAUAAGCCCUUAAUUUUAAAAGAGUUUAAGCGUUAAAAUUUGGAAUUUUAAUUCGAGGAACGAAAUGGAAUUUAGUGAAACAUUGCAGAAUUUAUA
rnacentral:misc_RNA from 1 species